UGAUCUUCAACACAAUCAUCG
rnacentral:siRNA from 1 species